UCCGGGGGGGACAGAGGGGGGACUUGGGGGAUCCCUGAAGGGAAUCUGGGGGGCUGGCGGGGACCCCGCGUCACUCCCCGCAUCCCCCCCGCAGAAGCUCAGCCUGGAGCAGCGAACGGAGCGUCUGAUGCAAAGGAGGUGGGAGAGCAGCCCGGCCUCAAGUGCCGCUCGGUAUCUCCAGGAGACUGGAGUCAUACUGGGAUCAUUCUGGGAGUAGCUGGAACCACACGGGAGCAACGGGAACCACGCUGGCAGUGACCGGAUGACGUCGGACGAGAGACGGCCCCGGGAGCGGCGAGGGGCGGGGCGCCGGGGGCGGGGCCAUGCAGAUUUAAGCUAAUGAGCGCGCGGCCGCCGCGGCGGGGGGGGGGGGGGGGGGGGGGGGGGGGGGGGGGGGGGGGGGGGGGGGGGGGGGGGGGGGGGGGGGGGGGGGGGGGGGGGGGGGGGGGGGG
rnacentral:lncRNA from 12 species